CCUACGGGAGGCAGCAGUGAGGAAUAUUGGUCAAUGGACGAGAGUCUGAACCAGCCAAGUAGCGUGAAGGAUGACUGCCCUAUGGGUUGUAAACUUCUUUUAUAUGGGAAUAAAAUGUUCCACGUGUGGGAUUUUGUAUGUACCAUAUGAAUAAGGAUCGGCUAACUCCGUGCCAGCAGCCGCGGUAAUACGGAGGAUCCGAGCGUUAUCCGGAUUUAUUGGGAUUAAAGGGAGCGUAGGUGGAUUGUUAAGUCAGUUGUGAAAGUUUGCGGCUCAACCGUAAAAUUGCAGUUGAAACUGGCAGUCUUGAGUACAGUAGAGGUGGGCGGAAAUCGUGGUGUAGCGGUGAAAUGCUUAGAUAUCACGAAGAACUCCGAUUGCGAAGGCAGUUCACUGGACUGCAACUGACACUGAGGCUCGAAAGUGUGGGUAUCAAACAGGAUUAGAUACCCUUGUAGUC
rnacentral:rRNA from 1 species